CCUACGGGGGGCAGCAGUGGGGAAUAUUGGACAAUGGGGGCAACCCUGAUCCAGCCAUGCCGCGUGUGUGAAGAAGGCCCUCGGGUUGUAAAGCACUUUCAGUGAGGAAGAACGCCUGGUGGUUAAUACCCAUCAGGAAAGACAUCACUCACAGAAGAAGCACCGGCUAACUCCGUGCCAGCAGCCGCGGUAAUACGGAGGGUGCGAGCGUUAAUCGGAAUUACUGGGCGUAAAGCGCGCGUAGGUGGCUUGAUAAGCCGGUUGUGAAAGCCCCGGGCUCAACCUGGGAACGGCAUCCGGAACUGUCAAGCUAGAGUGCAGGAGAGGAAGGUAGAAUUCCCGGUGUAGCGGUGAAAUGCGUAGAGAUCGGGAGGAAUACCAGUGGCGAAGGCGGCCUUCUGGACUGACACUGACACUGAGGUGCGAAAGCGUGGGUAGCAAACAGGAUUAGCUACCCUGGUAGUC
rnacentral:rRNA from 1 species